GCGUCCACCUCUACGCAUGCGCCCCCAGCUUCCGCGGGAGGGAGGGGGCGGAAAAAGGAGGAGGAAGAGGGGCGGGCAAACUUGGAACUAACCAAUGAUAGCGGCGCUAGCCGGGAUCUUGGCCGGCACAGAACUGGGGGCGGAAUCGCGCGGGGCCUGAAGGGAGGGGUUUGGGCGCGGGAGCCGGGCAGGAGAAGACGGAAGUGGAGCGAGGACAAAAUGGCUGCGAAGUAACAUGAGGUGAUAUCUUUCCUGGUUUGACUUUCAUCAAAAAUUAAACGACAGACCAUACCGACGCUUUGAAAACGUGACUGAGCUGGUGCACAAAACAAUGGUGCCUAGAAUUUUGAAUUGUGCAAUGUUGUGCAUGGCCGCGGAUAUGUGGGGCCUUGUGGUUCCAAGAGCCUGUCUCAGGUGUACCGGCCCUCAUCACUGGGCUUCAGAGGUUCAAUCUGCAAGGAGGCAUCUCCUGCCAGGAAAUUGGAAGCAAAGGCCACUCGGCCCUUCUGUUCCUCAGUCAAGUUAUUGUAGACAUGACGACUGGAGUAAGUGAUCAC
rnacentral:lncRNA from 1 species